rnacentral:rRNA from 1 species
CGAGGGUGCAAGCGUUAAUCGGAAUUACUGGGCGUAAAGCGAGUGUAGGCGGCUAUUUAAGUCGGAUGUGAAAGCCCCGGGCUCAACCUGGGAAUUGCAUUCGAAACUGAAUAGCUAGAGUUUGGUAGAGGUAAGUGGAAUUCCGGGUGUAGCGGUGAAAUGCGUAGAUAUCCGGAGGAACAUCAGUGGCGAAGGCGGCUUACUGGACCAAAACUGACGCUGAGGCUCGAAAGCGUGGGGAGCAAACAGGAUUAGAGACCCGAGUAGUCC